UGGGUCUUUGCAAUUGCUUGGUAGAUUUUUUUCUAUCCUUUGGUUUUUGUUUUAGACCAUAGACCAAGGCAAGUAUAUCUUGUACGCAUUGUGUAUAUUGUCUCUUUCAUUCCGUGUUGGAUUGCAAUAAAAACUUAUUUUUUUAUUCAAUUAUAAGAAACGGAAUUCAUCAUAGGAAGAAAAAAAUAUUUUUCUUUUCAAUAUAAAUUUGUACACAGAUGAG
rnacentral:lncRNA from 1 species